UUUACAACCGCACAGAUCAAGGUUUUAAGUAUGUAGUUCAUCACCUUGUAUGGCGAGUCUGAAAUUAA
rnacentral:sRNA from 1 species